rnacentral:rRNA from 1 species
ACGCUCGACACCUACGGGAGGCAGCAGUUAGGAAUAUUGGGCAAUGGAGGAAACUCUGACCCAGCAACGCCGCGUGAAGGAAGAAGGUUUUCGGAUUGUAAACUUCUGAUCUAGGGGAAGAAGGAAGUGACGGUACCCUAGGAGAAAGCCACGGCUAACUCGUGCGAAGCACGCCGCGGUAAUCUGAGCGGGCGUGGCGAAGGCG